AGAAAGAAAAUUCGAUUCCCUUAGUAGCGGCGAGCGAAAUGGGAAGAGCCCAAACCAACAAGCUUGCUUGUUGGGGUUGUAGGACACUCUAUACGGAGUUACAAAGGACGACAUUAGACGAAUCAUCUGGAAAGAUGAAUCAAAGAAGGUAAUAAUCCUGUAGUCGAAAAUGUUGUCUCUCUUGAGUGGAUCCUGAGUACGACGGAGCACGUGAAAUUCCGUCGGAAUCUGGGAGGACCAUCUCCUAAGGCUAAAUACUCUCUAGUGACCGAUAGUGAACCAGUACCGUGAGGGAAAGGUGAAAAGCACCCCGGAAGGGGAGUGAAAUAGAACCUGAAACCGUGUGCUUACAAGUAGUCAGAGCCCGUUAAUGGGUGAUGGCGUGCCUUUUGUAGAAUGAACCGGCGAGUUACGAUUUGAUGCAAGGUUAAGCAGUAAAUGUGGAGCCGUAGCGAAAGCGAGUCUGAAUAGGGCGUUUAGUAUUUGGUCGUAGACCCGAAACCAGGUGAUCUACCCUUGGUCAGGUUGAAGUUCAGGUAACACUGAAUGGAGGACCGAACCGACUUACGUUGAAAAGUGAGCGGAUGAACUGAGGGUAGCGGAGAAAUUCCAAUCGAACCUGGAGAUAGCUGGUUCUCUCCGAAAUAGCUUUAGGGCUAGCCUCAAGUGAUGAUUAUUGGAGGUAGAGCACUGUUUGGACGAGGGGCCCCUCUCGGGUUACCGAAUUCAGACAAACUCCGAAUGCCAAUUAAUUUAACUUGGGAGUCAGAACAUGGGUGAUAAGGUCCGUGUUCGAAAGGGAAACAGCCCAGACCACCAGCUAAGGUCCCAAAAUAUAUGUUAAGUGGAAAAGGAUGUGGCGUUGCCCAGACAACUAGGAUGUUGGCUUAGAAGCAGCCAUCAUUUAAAGAGUGCGUAAUAGCUCACUAGUCGAGUGACACUGCGCCGAAAAUGUACCGGGGCUAAACAUAUUACCGAAGCUGUGGAUUGUCCUUUGGACAAUGGUAGGAGAGCGUUCUAAGGGCGUUGAAGCAUGAUCGUAAGGACAUGUGGAGCGCUUAGAAGUGAGAAUGCCGGUGUGAGUAGCGAAAGACGGGUGAGAAUCCCGUCCACCGAUUGACUAAGGUUUCCAGAGGAAGGCUCGUCCGCUCUGGGUUAGUCGGGUCCUAAGCUGAGGCCGACAGGCGUAGGCGAUGGAUAACAGGUUGAUAUUCCUGUACCACCUAUA
rnacentral:rRNA from 1 species